rnacentral:rRNA from 1 species
AAGCGAUUCAGCGGGUUACGAUUGACGGAGCGAAGCGACGUCAAAGCGUAUACAAAGUCGAGUCGGUUUAAGGAUACGUUCGUUGGGUAGGGGAGCGUUCUGUAAGCCUGCGAAGGUGGCCUGUGAGGGUUGCUGGAGGUAUCAGAAGUGCGAAUGCUGACAUAAGUAACGAUAAAGCGGGUGAAAAGCCCGCUCGCCGGAAGACCAAGGGUUCCUGUCCAACGUUAAUCGGGGCAGGGUGAGUCGACCCCUAAGGCGAGGCCGAAAGGCGUAGUCGAUGGGAAACGGGUUAAUAUUCCCGUACUUGGUGUUACUGCGAAGGGGGGACGGAGAAGGCUAUGUUGGCCGGGCGACGGUUGUCCCGGUUUAAGCGUGUAGGUGUGUGUUCCAGGUAAAUCCGGUUCACUUUAACACUGAGGCGUGACGACGAGGCACUACGGUGCUGAAGCAACAAAUGCCCUGCUUCCAGGAAAAGCCUCUAAGCAUCAGGUAACAUCAAAUCGUACCCCAAACCGACACAGGUGGUCAGGUAGAGAAUACCAAGGCGCUUGAGAGAACUCGGGUGAAGGAACUAGGCAAAAUGGUGCCGUAACUUCGGGAGAAGGCACGCUGACACGUAGGUGAAGUGAUUUACUCAUGGAGCUGAAGUCAGUCGAAGAUACCAGCUGGCUGCAACUGUUUAUUAAAAACACAGCACUGUGCAAACACGAAAGUGGACGUAUACGGUGUGACGCCUGCCCGGUGCCGGAAGGUUAAUUGAUGGGGUCAGCGCAAGCGAAGCUCCUGAUCGAAGCCCCGGUAAACGGCGGCCGUAACUAUAACGGUCCUAAGGUAGCGAAAUUCCUUGUCGGGUAAGUUCCGACCUGCACGAAUGGCGUAAUGAUGGCCAGGCUGUCUCCACCCGAGACUCAGUGAAAUUGAACUCGCUGUGAAGAUGCAGUGUACCCGCGGCAAGACGGAAAGACCCCGUGAACCUUUACUAUAGCUUGACACUGAACAUUGAGCCUUGAUGUGUAGGAUAGGUGGGAGGCUUUGAAGUGUGGACGCCAGUCUGCAUGGAGCCGACCUUGAAAUACCACCCUUUAAUGUUUGAUGUUCUAACGUGGACCCGUAAUCCGGGUUGCGGACAGUGUCUGGUGGGUAGUUUGACUGGGGCGGUCUCCUCCUAAAGAGUAACGGAGGAGCACGAAGGUUGGCUAAUCCUGGUCGGACAUCAGGAGGUUAGUGCAAUGGCAUAAGCCAGCUUGACUGCGAGCGUGACGGCGCGAGCAGGUGCGAAAGCAGGUCAUAGUGAUCCGGUGGUUCUGAAUGGAAGGGCCAUCGCUCAACGGAUAAAAGGUACUCCGGGGAUAACAGGCUGAUACCGCCCAAGAGUUCAUAUCGACGGCGGUGUUUGGCACCUCGAUGUCGGCUCAUCACAUCCUGGGGCUGAAGUAGGUCCCAAGGGUAUGGCUGUUCGCCAUUUAAAGUGGUACGCGAGCUGGGUUUAGAACGUCGUGAGACAGUUCGGUCCCUAUCUGCCGUGGGCGCUGGAGAACUGAGGGGGGCUGCUCCUAGUACGAGAGGACCGGAGUGGACGCAUCACUGGUGUUCGGGUUGUCAUGCCAAUGGCACUGCCCGGUAGCUAAAUGCGGAAGAGAUAAGUGCUGAAAGCAUCUAAGCACGAAACUUGCCCCGAGAUGAGUUCUCCCUGAGACUUAGAGUCUCCUGAAGGAACGUUGAAGACGACGACGUUGAUAGGCCGGGUGUGUAAGCGCAGCGAUGCGUUGAGCUAACCGGUACUAAUGAACCGUGAGGCUUAACCUU